rnacentral:rRNA from 1 species
ACCUGCGGAGGGAUCAUUACAGAGUGUGAAGUGCGGGCGCCGGAGCCCCUCACCCCGCGGCCAACAGCCCGUGGUGCCGGUCACCCUCCGGCCCCGCGCCACCUCCAACCCUUUGUGAACACGACCUGUUGCUUCGGGGGCGACCCUGCCGUUUGCGCGGCGGGCGCCCCCGGAGGCCGUCGCGGCGCCCCCUGGGCGUCCCGACCCUACCACUGCAUCCCUGCGUCGGAGUUUAAGUAAAUUUAAACAAAACUUUCAACAACGGAUCUCUUGGUUCUGGCAUCGAUGAAGAACGCAGCGAAAUGCGAUAAGUAAUGUGAAUUGCAGAAUUCAGUGAAUCAUCGAAUCUUUGAACGCACAUUGCGCCCUCUGGUAUUCCGGAGGGCAUGCCUGUUCGAGCGUCAUUUCACCACUCACGCCUGGCGUGGUAUUGGGUGCCGCGGGGUUCCCGCGCGCCUCAAAGUCUCCGGCUGAGCUGUCCGUCUCCAAGCGUUGUGAUUUCAUUAGUCGCUUGGGGUGCGGGCGGCCGCGGCCGUUAAAUCUUUCACCAGGUUGACCUCGGAUCAGGUAGGGAUACCCGCUGAAC